rnacentral:rRNA from 1 species
AGCGGCGGACGGGUGAGUAACGCGUGGGUAACCUGCCCUAUACACACGGAUAACAUACCGAAAGGUAUGCUAAUACGAGAUAAUAUAAGAGAUUCACAUGGAUUUCUUAUCAAAGCUGGGGCGGUAUAGGAUGGACCCGCGUCUAAUUAGCUAGUUGGUAAGGUAACGGCUUACCAAGGCGACGAUCAGUAGCCGACCUGAGAGGGUGAUCGGCCACAUUGGAACUGAGACACGGUCCAAACUCCUACGGGAGGCAGCAGUGGGGAAUAUUGCACAAUGGGCGAAAGCCUGAUGCAGCAACGCCGCGUGAGUGAUGAAGGCCUUCGGGUCGUAAAACUCUGUCCUCAAGGAAGAUAAUGACGGUACUUGAGGAGGAAGCCCCGGCUAACUACGUGCCAGCAGCCGCGGUAAUACGUAGGGGGCUAGCGUUAUCCGGAUUUACUGGGCGUAAAGGGUGCGUAGGUGGUCUCUUAAGUCAGGAGUGAAAGGCUACGGCUUAACCGUAGUAAGCUCUUGAAACUGGGAGACUUGAGUGCAGGAGAGGAAAGUGGAAUUCCUAGUGUAGCGGUGAAAUGCGUAGAUAUUAGGAGGAACACCAGUAGCGAAGGCGGCUUUCUGGACUGUAACUGACACUGAGGCACGAAAGCGUGGGGAGCAAACAGGAUUAGAUACCCUGGUAGUCCACGCCGUAAACGAUGAGUACUAGGUGU